rnacentral:tRNA from 1 species
GCGAAGGUGGUCGUUGUAGUAUAGUGGUAAGUAUUCCCGCCUGUCACGCGGGUGACCCGGGUUCGUUCCCUGGCAACGGCAC